GGGAACGGGAACGGGAACGGGAACGGGAAUGGGAAUGGGAAUGGGAAUGGGAAUGGGAACGGGGCGGUUUGCCCUGGAAUGUCCGGGAAGUGCCUUUAACAGGUACGAGGCACGUUAGCUCAGCAAGAGACCGCUAAAGUCUGUCCCCUAAGCCGGGGACCUCUCUGCCCUGGGAAAGCCCCUCACACCGCUUUGGUCAGAGAAUCCCUCGAGGCCGAGCAGCUGCCGUGCAAUGACGAAGGGCCCUCUCUGCCCUGGCACCGCCACAUUGCUGCCCUCACUACCAGCGAGGAAUGGUUUGAGGGCAGUGGCUACGAAGAAGGAGGAGCCCUUCCCCAGAAGGGCGACAUAUGUGUUCCUGCUGGUGCAGCAGCAGCAGCAGCAGCCGCCUCCCCUCCCUCCUCUCCCUCCCCUCUCUUAGUUACUGUCCUGUCCCUGUUCCACAUCUCUAGGGCAACCCUCAAUUUUGCGUGUUCUUCUGAGGUACUCUGAUCCAGGCUUACUCUUCAUGUACAUUCCUGAAUAUGGAAAGUAUCUAAGUUCCACAGUAUUUUGAUUUCUUUGAUUAUCUCUCUGUUUACAGGUGCCUGUGCUCUCAUGCCUUACAAUUUUUCAGGGUGUCUGGGAUGCCCACUUUGCUGUGUGUUGUUGGCAGCAGAUGUUAGCAAGCCUUGGGGUGUUGCAAUUAGCAUUCCCUCAGCAGCUGUAAUAAAACAUACAUUUUUGACUAUACUUAGAUUUUUACUCAGUUGGUAGGAUAUGAACAGCUGUGCACCAAAACCAUGAGAAGAAACAGAGGAAAAUCUGCACUUAGUGCCCAGAAGACUCAAGAGCUCUGCUUGAAAUGUAAGAGUAUGGAAAGUACUGCCCUGUGACCCUCUGUGUGAAAAUCAGCUAGAAAGAUAAAAUGAAGGCAUCCUUAGAAAUGCAAGUCUUUCAUGGUAGUAGUUGAAAACACAGAGUAUUAGAAUUUUAAUACAUUGGUGUUCUGGAUGACUUUUGAGACAUGGUAUGCCAUUCUGGAUAAACAUUCUUCUCUUUGAGGCUUAUUUUAAAAGUGAAAAAAAAAGGUAUCUGACAGACACCAUUAUACAUUGAAAACUUCAUUAAACAGCAUGAAAAACAAAUUAUUUGCAUUCCUUUUUAAUGGCAGCAUAUGGCUAAAAAUAGAUUGCCAGCAUGUGCUGAAAUAACAACCAUUUACAUAAUUUUCUACUUGCAGCAAGAGUGACUGUAAGGCCCCCAAGUUUAGAAAUUUUCUUGCAGACUGUGUAAAGGUGCACUAUCAAGCCACCUUCUUAGCUUGGCAGAAGGAAGGAGGCUGUGGGAAGACAGACCUCUCUCUGCCUGGGCAGGUGUCUCAGGCAGAAGGCUACAGAGUCUCAUUUGCUGCCUCUGAGCCAGGAGUGGUGGAUUCCUGUGUGAGUGCCCAGUCCUCACUGCACGGUAAGGCAUUGCCCUCACCUCAGCUGACCUGCAGCCAGACAGUAACAGGACUCCCUGGAAAAAGAGGCAGUGUGGAAUGAAUGUGACAAUUGUACCAGCCUGUUACAGUUAAAAGCUUUAGCCAUUAGGCUGUUAUAUGGUAAGAUAGGAACAGGGAGAAGGAGCAACACUGUGUCUUACAAGUGGAUCUGGAGCUUUGUUUAUGGUAUUCAGGAACUGGAGGCAGCCAAUUCCCUUUGAGAGAUCCUAGCCAUUUCAGCAGAGCAAAGCUGUGCUCCUGUGCCAGACUUUUAAUCAAAAGAGAAGGCCUGACUGUGAUCAUUUCCAGCAGGCCUGCUUUAGGGGUGCCUUUCUUCUCCUGAGGAAUUUUUAUAAGGUCAUUUAGAGAUCCCCAUUCUAAUUUUGCCCUGCAUUGGCACUGGGGUGCUUUCCUUGAAUCUGGAUUCCAGCCCAGGGCUGGAUUUAGCUUGCAAGUCUGAAUAACCUGCAUAUUCAGUUGCACAGGUCAAUGAUGCCCCUGUGGCAGAGGCCAGGGAGGUGGUGCAAGAUCACAUGUUCCCCCAGAGAUGGGCUGUGCCUCUGAGGAACCUCUGUGAAGAUCUAGGAGCAUUGGGAGGGCACUCAGUAAGCACAAGAUGACUGCUACCCUGCUGCUUCUCUGGAGCUCAGGACCCAUGUUUCCUGCAAACCUUCAGGGCUUACAAGUUAGCAGUGCAGGCACCUUAUUCCUUCCUCAUGGUCAUUGUACUCACUGUGUUUCAAAUGCCCUGGAGCAAGUCCAGAUUGCAAGCUAAGUGUUUUAGAGCAGUAUUUUAAGAAGAAGGAUUAUUUUUUCUAUUAGUGUUGACUUUAAACACUAGAGAAAACACCAGCUACAUGAGGCUGUUUCUUUGAAACUUCUUUGAACUUUGGAUGCAUCUCUGCAGCCUGCAGCCUUGUGUAACUGCAGAGGUUUGUUCAAUUUGUCUGGAUGUUAUAUAAGCUGUCUUUUAUUUUCCUUUUGCUUGUGAUCAUGUUAUGUAGGCUGCCUUCUUAAAUUUCAGGAACCCUAAGGCAGCCUGAGUCAUAUGUAUGAGGCUCUUUUUUGCACUGUUGUGUAAGGUAGUGAAUUGCAAAGGUCAUGGGAAUGAGUUAUUUAAAAACUGAAACAUGCUGGGCUCUAUCCAGCUCAGAAUAGAUGAGCUCAGAAAGGCAUUUGCGUUUUAAAUUACAGUUUGGGUUAUCAAGGACUGAUUCACCUAACUCACUAUUUCAGUUUCCUUAGCAAAUUGCUGUAGCACACAAUAUUUUUGUUUCUUUUAAAUGUGUUGCUGAUAUAACCAUGCAUUCCCAUGAGAUAAUGAAUAAAAUAUUUACUUUCAAUACUAGAAAACAAAUGCAUUCACAAAUAUUGUCAUCAUAGGCACAAUCUUCACACUCAUUCAUUUUCAGUGCUCACAGCAAUUAAUCUCCCUUACCAUUUGAUCCCAAUGGAAGAUUCAUGUUCAAAGUGCACAGAGGGCUUUGAUCUACCCAGUGAACAACUGGAUUGUGAUGUGCCACUGUGCCCUUGUGUAAACUGCCUCACUCAUAGCAAUGCCAUGCAGGUUAAAGGUACAAGAACAGAUAACCCUGGAGUCUCUAGGGCAGAUCACUCUGUUUCUGUUCACUCUGUCUACUGUCAUGUUUAAGCCAUCCAACUGUACCCUCAUUUAUAGAAAGACCUUUCUUGCUUCCUAUUUCAUGUCCCCUCUGAGGCACUCCAAGUCACCACCCAUAAAAAAGUGUAUCCAGCCAUACUUUAACGUGAAGUGCUCUGAACUCUCCCAAAAGCACUUUUCAACUUGGAUAAUUUCACAGAGUAGUUCAGGGCAUGACUCCACCAACUGCUCAGCACACAGAGAAGGGCAGGCAGCAGUCGCUGGCAGCAGGGAAGGGCAUUGCAGCGGGCCAGGGGAGCAGGAGGGAAUACAAACCCACACCCUGGGAGUGAUUUUUGUUCUCUCCAUCAGCCUGUAGAGCUAUCCCAGCAUCAUUUUGGCCAUUUGCAAAAUUCAUGUGUGCAAUUGUAAUUUACUUCCCUUUUCAUGCACCAAAAUGUAAUCAACUUGUGAUCACGUCAACUCUUGAUGAAAAUAGUAAGAAAAAGUUAUGUGCUGAGAGAAAAAGUACAUUAAAUUGGUUUGGCAUGAGGAAGCAGUUAAAUUACUCUGGUUACUGAAACCCAAACCAGUACAACCCCCCUCCCCCAAAUACUGCACCAAUAUAGCAAAAUUAAGUAAUAGCAUGUCCCCAUAUAGGCUUGCAAUGCAGUGUACUGGUAAAUUAUACAGACAGAAACUGGUUAACCCAGGAAUUGUGGAGUCAUAUAUGUGCAUGUAGGAGAGGGGAAAAAAAAACAGUUAAGAAAAAGGGCUAGAAAUGCAAAGAGCACACUAAACUGAGUUCAGGGACAUGAUACUGAAGGGAAGGAGAACACUGGGGCAAAGGACUUCCUGGAAAGGGCUUGAAUGUAAACACAGGUGAGCUCUUGCUGUUUGCCCGCAUUUUGCUGUGUUCAGAAAAACAAGAACUUUUUAAAUACAGGAAUUGUACAUGUGAGUCUAUUGCAUUAUACCCAGCAUCAUUACUCAAGGUGAUUGCUAGGAACAGGUAAAACAAAAGCUGGAAUAAGGGAGGACAGGGUCUAUGAAGUGUGAGGGUUUAAAGAUGUUAACAAAAAAAACCCAAACAACAUUCCAAUUAUUUUCCCGUAUUCAAGUAAUUCUGGUUUGUAUUUGCAUAUAUCAGUGGCUAAAAUAUAUGAGUCACAGGGUGGGGUUUUUUUCUUGCAUGUUACUAAUGGACACCUUGCCCUGAGUCAAAAAGCAGUGCCUUAGGUUAAUCCAGGAAACACUUCUCGAAUCUGCCAUCAUGUGAAGACUGGAAACAAGCUCACUUUCUCCAGAAAAGAGCUAUAAAACCAAGCAAGAGAAAUUGCAAACAGAAAGUCUGUUCACUUGUCUAACACUGCUCUUAACCUCUUGGACUAUCUUGGGUCGAGCAGCUGGAAGACAGCAUGUUCUGUGGGCAGACAGCUCCUGGCAGGCAGUCAGUACAGCUGCGAACACCACACGCUGUGCCAAACAUGAGUCUGUAAUUUCUCUCCAAUGGUCAGCUUUUUGAGGAUAGCAUUUAGUCAUUUCCUGGGAAGACAAAGGGUGCCCAUCAGAGCUAAUGAUACUUGCUCAUGUGCUGCCAUGUGGGAGGUGGCUAUAAAGCACACUUGGAAAAUGAGCACAACUGAUUCAAAAUCACAGCAACGGUGUUGAUGCAGGAAUUUGCUGCCAGGCAGUUCUCAGAAUCCCUGCACCCUUUGUCAGACAAGGAGGCAUUUUCUUCUGACUUACUUUUCUCAGCCAUCUGAAUAGGAGAGCAAAUGUGCCUCAGGAGAAAUAAGAAGUGUGUUAGUUUUCAUUAACUUUUAAUUUGAAGUCUGCAUAACUGAAUGAAACCACUGUAGUAAUCUGGAAAGGGUAUCUGAAAGCCCUGUUGAAUCAGAGAUAAUUCCUCCCUUCUCUCUGAAAAGUACAUAUUUAAAAGGUGCUUUGUUUGGAGGCACAGUAUCCCUGCCAGUAUUUGCAAAGAACUCAAACAGUGGGAGCAGCUCUAGAAAGUCAUUUCAGGCUGCUGCAGCAUUCCCAGGGCUGUAGUAAAGGUCAGUGUGUGUGUGUCCUUCAGCCAUGUGGAGUUUUGAUUAGCAAAUCUGCGUCGUUGACAACUCUGGACUGUUUCCAGACAGCGAAAAUCAGGGCUCCCACAUGCACAAGAAGCGCACUCCCUGUGCCCAGCUUGUGCUCAAAGGCAUAGGACUUGCUGCACAGUGUUCAGCCUGUAACACAUACUGCAGCAAGGCUCACAGCCAAACAUUCCAAUCAUGUCAUAAAGAAAAGUUUUAAAAUGUUGCUUUGCUGAUAGGU